UACGUAGGGGGCAAGCGUUGUCCGGAAUCAUUGGGCGUAAAGCGCGCGUAGGCGGCUCGAUCAGUCUGCUGUGAAAGUCAAAGGCUCAACCUUUGAAUGCCGGUGGAUACUGUCGAGCUAGAGUCCGGAAGAGGCGAGUGGAAUUCCUGGUGUAGCGGUGGAAUGCGCAGAUAUCAGGAGGAACACCGAUGGCGAAGGCAGGUCACUGGGCCGCAACUGACGCUGAGGAGCGAAAGCAUGGGGAGCGAACAGG
rnacentral:rRNA from 1 species